rnacentral:rRNA from 1 species
GAUGAACGCUGGCGGCGUGCCUAAUACAUGCAAGUCGAGCGAACGGACGAGAAGCUUGCUUCUCUGAUGUUAGCGGCGGACGGGUGAGUAACACGUGGAUAACCUACCUAUAAGACUGGGAUAACUUCGGGAAACCGGAGCUAAUACCGGAUAAUAUUUUGAACCGCAUGGUUCAAAAGUGAAAGACGGUCUUGCUGUCACUUAUAGAUGGAUCCGCGCUGCAUUAGCUAGUUGGUAAGGUAACGGCAUACCAAGGCAACGAUACAUAGCCGACCUGAGAGGGUGAUCGGCCACACUGGAACUGAGACACGGUCCAGACUCCUACGGGAGGCAGCAGUAGGGAAUCUUCCGCAAUGGGCGAAAGCCUGACGGAGCAACGCCGCGUGAGUGAUGAAGGUCUUCGGAUCGUAAAACUCUGUUAUUAGGGAAGAACAUAUGUGUAAGUAACUGUGCACAUCUUGACGGUACCUAAUCAGAAAGCCACGGCUAACUACGU